UGGCCGCAGUAUUUUGACUGUGCAAAGGUAGCAUAAUCAUUAGUCUUUUAAUUGAAGGCUUGUAUGAAUGGCUGGACGAAGUAUUAACUGUUUCAUAUAAAUUUAUGAUAAAAUUUUAUAUUUUAGUAAAAAAGCUAAAAUUGAAUUAAUAGACGAGAAGACCCUAUAAAUCUUUAUAUUUAAAAUUAUUUUUUAUUUUUUAAAUUAAAAUUAAAUAUUAAUUAAUUUAAAUAUUUUAUUGGGGUGAUAUUAAAAUUUAUAAAACUUUUAAUUUUAUUUUUACAUUAAUUUAUGUUUUAUUGAUCCAUUAAUAAUGAUUAUAAGAAUAAGUUACUUUAGGGAUAACAGCGUAAUUUUUUUGGAAAGUUCUUAUUAAUAAAAAAGUUUGCGACCUCGAUGUUGGAUUAAGAAUUAAAUUUAGGUGUAGAAGCUUAAAAAUUAAGUCUGUUCGACUUUUAAAUUCUUACAUGAUCUGAGUUCAGACCGGUGUAAGCCAGGUUGGUUUCUAUCUUUAAUUAAUUUUAAUAUUUUAGUACGAAAGGACCAAAUAUUAGUUAAAAUAUUAAUUAUUUUUUUAUGAAAUUAAUUAAUU
rnacentral:rRNA from 1 species